rnacentral:rRNA from 1 species
UACGUAGGGGGCAAGCGUUGUCCGGAAUCAUUGGGCGUAAAGCGCGUGUAGGCGGCUAGGUAAGUCUGCUCUGAAAGCCCGGGGCUCAACCCCGGGAGGCGGGUGGAUACUGUCUAGCUCGAGUCCGGAAGAGGAGUGUGGAAUUCCUGGUGUAGCGGUGAAAUGCGCAGAUAUCAGGAGGAACACCAAUAGCGAAGGCAGCUCGCUGGGACGGUACUGACGCUAAGGCGCGAAAGCGUGGGGAGCGAACAGG